UACGGGGGGGGGCAAGCGUUGUUCGGAAUUACUGGGCGUAAAGGGCGCGUAGGCGGCGUGUCAAGUCAGGCGUGAAAGCCCCGGGCUCAACCUGGGAACCGCGCUUGAGACUGGCAUGCUCGAGUUCGGGAGAGGAUGGUGGAAUCCCAGUGUAGAGGUGAAAUUCGUAGAUAUUGGGAAGAACACCGAUGGCGAAGGCAGCCAUCUGGACCGACACUGACGCUGAGGCGCGAAAGCGUGGGGAGCAAACAGG
rnacentral:rRNA from 1 species